UGGUGUGCUGCCGACUACCAAAAGUUUUUUUUUUUAUUUUGCGUUAUGGAUGCAAGGCAGAUCAGAUGGAUUAUUUCUCUGGUAUCUUGCCAUCAUCUAUGCCAACUGCGAAACCAAAAAACUGUUACCAACCUAAGGCUAUUGCUUUCCAUUAUGUUAUUAGUUGCUCAUGUAGAGAUUUAGCUCGUGAAAUUUGCAUUGCAAAGAAUGCUGACCGGGAAGAAACGUCACCAAUGAUACAAAUGCUAUGGGUGCACAAUAAUCAUUGUGUUGUGUUUCCAGCUAUAACCACCAAUGUUUCAGCAUUCAUCUCAUAAUUUCUACUUAGCUGCGAACACACAGACAUACACUUCAAAGAACUGCCAAGUCUUUGCCUUCUCCUGCAUAACUUCUGGCCAUACAGUCUUUUUAGCCUUUGGACAACAGGCGACUAUGUCUUCUUCCUCUUCCGGAUUCAUCGUCAAUAUUCAAAGUUUUGCCUUCUUCGCUUCAUUGUCCGUCGCCCCAUCUUCGCCUCGUCCGUCGCCGAUUCUUCGCCCCGUCUUCACCCCAUCUUCGCCUCGUCCGUCGCCCCAUCUUUGCCUCGUCCGUCGCCGAUUCUUCGCCCCGUCUUCACCCCAUCUUCGCCUCGUCCGUCGCCCCAUCUUCGCCUCGUCCGUCGCCCCAUCGUCGCCUCGUCCGUCGCCCCAUCGUCGCCUCGUCCGUCGUCGCCUCGUCCGUCGCCUAGUCUUCGCCCUGUCGCCGUGUCAUCGCCUCGUGGUAUCGUUUUGUUUUGUUUUGUAUUAUGUUCUUCUAAUUAACCCGUUGGCUGCCACCCACCCACUUUGAUCCCCCUUUUUUUUUUUUAGCUUGACAGGGACGGGCCGCGCUGUUCUGCUCCAUGGUCAUCUGCCAUGGGAUGGAGCAGCGCCACUGCCCAAGAUUGGCCGAACGGCCCUUUAGGCAAUGCACCACAGGGAAUUCCCUUGAUCGAUGCGAUAGAUGAGACCUGGGGUGUGCAUUCCCGUAAAGGUCUCAUCGUCGUGUCAGCCCGGCCCACCCGGCCCUUUGGUCGCUAUCCCUAGGAUAGCGAUAGUAGCGACUGUAGUUAAGGGUGGCGUGGCAGCCAACGGGUUAGUUAUAAGUGUAUU